rnacentral:lncRNA from 1 species
AUGACCAACACAAUAGGAAAGAGGAGGAGCACUCAUUAUGUGUUCUCUAGGUCUUCUAGAAAACAUGGAGUUGUUCCUUUGGCCAUAUUUAUGGAAAUCUAUAACAAAAGUGAUAUUAUAGACAUCAAGGAAAUGGGAACUGUUGAAAAAGGAAUGCCCCAUAAGUGUUACCUCAGCAAAACAGAAAGAGUCUAGAGUGUUACCCUGCAUGCCAUUGGCAUCAUUGUAAACAAGCAAGUUAAGGGCAGGAUUCUGGCAAGAGGAUCAAUGUGCGGAUUAAGCAAAUCAAACCCUCUGCAUCU